ensembl:lncRNA
GGGGAAGGAGGGUUAGGAAUUUUAUUUGGUUGGUUACUUUUUCUAGCUUGUUUUUAUUUUAUUUCCAGCCAGUAUUCUUAAGAGGACCUCAAUGUGUGAUUUGGGGCUUCUACCUACAGCCUGAAGUCAGGCACAAGCUCUGGGCUGUUUGGACCCUCUGGCUGGGACCCAAGGGCAGAUCUACCCGGCGGGCGAGGCACCCCCACCCGCAGGCCUGCUGUGCACAACUAACUCGCUUCCUGGAAAAGCUGCAGAUCUCCUGGCCCUGAGGGCUCCAACACAGGGAAAAUGCCUUCUUCUUCGGCUUAUUUGCUCAGGGUUUAAAAGGACCCUCCACUUGGGACCCUGAGGACCCCUGGGCUGAGACAGUCAUUCAAGUCACUCCACGAAUAUCCCUGGAGACCGGGCCCUGCACCUGACACUGGGGACUGCAUGACCCCCAGUUCUUGCUGCAGUGCGUCCUUUCCUGGGGAACCCCUGGACCAGAAAACCUCACUGUGGCCAACAACUUGGCUGAAAAUACCUAAGGAACGGCGGGCUAACUGCUCCCAAACAGCCCCUUCUCAUGGGUGAUGGGGAAAAGCUGAGGUCCACGCCACGGUCCAGCACAGCUCAGCGGGGCAGUUGAGCACUGGGCUCCAUGCAGUCACUUGGGGACCAACAGCUUCUGUGCGGUGGCUUCACAGUACCAAAGCAUCUCAAAGUCUUGAAUGAGACACCUCCCUCAUCUGCUCAGGAGGCAGAGGGUCAGGGCAUUGUGUGUGUGUGUGUGUGUGUGUGUGUGUGUGUGUGUGUGUGUGUGUGUGCGCGCGCGCGCGCAUGCUCUUGGGCGUGGGGAUCAAACUCAAGCCUCCACACUGAGCCCUUUUUAAUUUGUUUUAUUUUAAGACAGGGAUUCGCUAGGUCACUAAGUUGCCCAGGCUGAGCUCAAACUUGUGAUCCUCCUGCCUUAGCCUCCUCGAGUAGUGGGAUUCAAGGCAUGGGGCACUGCAUCCGGCCACUGGAUCACAGAAUUCUUUCCUUAGGGUACAUCCCCGGAAGUGAACUCACCACUCACUCCUACAGUCCCUGGUUGGAAUCCAGUCACUGCUAGGGGCCAUCUGUGCCUCGAAGAACGAGGACAUGAGAUUUGGCAGAUGCACGGCGUUGUCACAGGAUCACACCACAGAGCAGGUGUGGAUGGUGACGUCUCCGCCUCUGUCCAACCUGGCUCUCUGCUCCCAGUGACGAUGGUGUGUCUUCAAGCCCAGCCUGGUCUUCUCCUCCCAGCAGUCCUGGGUGUGCCUGUGACCUGUGAACGUGCUGGGAGGAGAAGCCGGGUCCGGGCCAGCCUGCCUAUGCGCUGCACCUCGUACUCAGUCACCAUCAGGGGAAGCGGCAGCAGCUUCUCAGUGGUCCUCUGGGCUCCACUUCCUGCUGCCGCUCUGAGCUGUGUAAUCACCGUGGCCAGGUCACCUUGACCUCUCUCAGCUUCAGCCUCUGAAUCUGUAAAAUGAAGAUAAUCAUCAUCCCUGCCCCCUCGAGCAGUGCAAUAAAUAAGGCAGACAGGGUCUCGCUGUGUAGUCCAAGCUGGUUUGCACUCAUCCACAGCCC